rnacentral:rRNA from 1 species
GACGAACGCUGGCGGCGUGCCUAAUACAUGCAAGUCGAGCGGACUGAUUAAGAGCUUGCUCUUAUGACGUUAGCGGCGGACGGGUGAGUAACACGUGGGCAACCUGCCCUGUAGAUCGGGAUAACACCGAGAAAUCGGUGCUAAUACCGGGUAAUAUCUGAGAUCACAUGAUCUUAGGUUAAAAGAUGGCUCCGGCUAUCACUACAGGAUGGGCCCGCGGCGCAUUAGCUAGUUGGUAAGGUAAUGGCUUACCAAGGCGACGAUGCGUAGCCGACCUGAGAGGGUGAUAGGCCACACUGGGACUGAGACACGGCCCAGACUCCUACGGGAGGCAGCAGUAGGGAAUCUUCCGCAAUGGACGAAAGUCUGACGGAGCAACGCCGCGUGAGUGAUGAAGGGUUUCGGCUCGUAAAGCUCUGUUGUUAGGGAAGAAACAGUACCGAACGAACUAGGUCGGUACCUUGACGGUACCUAACCAGAAAGCCACGGCUAACUACGUG